AGUGAUUGCCUGCUUCCAGUUUUUACUCUUUACUUUGCUACAAAUCCAUUUCACUUCAUUCUCCCAGCAUUCAAUGAUCCUUGUAUGUCCCAACCACACACAGAUUCUCCUCCAUACUCUGCUUGUAAUGUCACAUUCAAAAUACAGAUGCUUGAACUCUUCAUCAUGUAUUUUACAGAAUACACACAAAGUUGGUAUUUUUAUGCCCAUAAUCUGCAACCUCUCAACUGUGGGAAUUUUUUGUUAAGCAGCUAACCAAACAGUAAACCUGUGUCUAGGGAGAGCAGAUGAAGUAAGCAUUAAGUUCCUCCAUGCAGUCUUAGGAAACUUUGGCAGCAAAGCAAUAUACAUUUUGUGAAUCUGAAAUUUUCCUAGCUUGCAUACACUCUGCAACCUGCUGAUAAUAUUACCUUGCAACUGAGUAUUCCCCAACACCAAUGUCCUACUUUCCAGUAUCUUCUUU
rnacentral:lncRNA from 1 species